rnacentral:misc_RNA from 1 species
AACGCACGAGACCUGCGGACCUGCGGAAGGAUCAUUACCGAGUGAGGGCCCUCUGGGUCCAACCUCCCACCCGUGUUUAUCGUACCUUGUUGCUUCGGCGGGCCCGCCUCACGGCCGCCGGGGGGCACCUGCCCCCGGGCCCGCGCCCGCCGAAGACAUCAUUGAACUCUGUCUGAAGAUUGCAGUCUGAGUAGAUUAGCUAAAUCAGUUAAAACUUUCAACAACGGAUCUCUAGAUCGG